rnacentral:tRNA from 1 species
UCUAAUAUGGCAGAUUAGUGCAAUAGAUUUAAGAUCUAUAAAUAAAAUUAAAAUUUUUAUUAGAA